rnacentral:lncRNA from 1 species
GGGAAGGAUUUUUCUUUUGAAUCCGAUGAAGUGUAGUAUGUAUUUUUAUGUUUCGACAAAAAAAAAGGAGAAAAACGUAGAAGAAGAAAAAAAAAGUUGAGAAAAGAAAAGAAAAAGAGGUUGAAAAGAAGUGAGGAUGGGUUCAUAAGUGUUGGUUGUUGAAGAAGGGUCCAAAAAUGUGAAUCUGACCCUAAAGUUGUACGAAUCUUCCCUUUGUGUUUAAAGUUGGGUGCUGCAAUCAAAAGUUGAAUUCUAAGUGUUGAUUUGAUUACUUUGCUUACUAUCACUUUAAGAACCGUUGUUCAUCCUUGACCUUUCUUUGUUAGCCAAUACCUCAGCCCCAUUACAACCUUAGACUUUUAUCUUGAUUGUUAUGUUAUUCAAUAUGUGGAGUUUGAAAUUGGUACGAGCAUAUGGAAUCCCUAGUUCUCGCUUCUAAGUAGUGGCAUUCCUUUCAUGAGAUCAUAUACAUGUUUGUAUUAAUAAUUCCAGAAAGUGCCUUCUUGGUUAUAACAUAUGUGAGUGCUAGUCUACAUGUUUACAUCAAUCUUCUCACAUAUACUAAGUAUAAGGAGUGUAGUCAGAAAAUCUGUGUGAAAAUAGAGAGUAUAUCCGGUGAGGAAUUGAGUGAAUUCUCUAAGGCAUAUUACUACAUUCAAAAUAUUAUUUUAAUUGAUUAAAUGCGAGCUAGUGAGUGGUUACUACGAUUAAGUAUAAGCUCAAGGGUAAGGAUAGCGAAAAGCCAUGUGAAUAGUGAUUUUUAACAUGUCAUGUUUCAUUGGAAAUCCCUGAGGCAAUUGUUGGAAGGUUUAUGUUGUGUUUUGUUUGUUUUGUUUUGCUCAGGGACUAGCAAAAGCUACGUGUGGGGGAAUUUGAUAUGAGCAUAUUUAUGCAACUUUGUUAACUUGUUUCUUUGCAUUUAGUGAGUUAGUUUCUAUAUAUAAGAGUGUUUUAAGCUAUUUUCGUGUGUUUGUAGGCCCAAUUGGCAAAGGUAACAAGAAAUGGCAAUUUGGAGCAUUUUGGAGCAGUUUUGGACUUGGAAUGGAUAGCAUACGCAU